rnacentral:rRNA from 1 species
GACGGACGCUGGCGGCGUGCUUAACACAUGCAAGUCGAACGGUAAGGCCCUUCGGGGUACACGAGUGGCGAACGGGUGAGUAACACGUGGGUGAUCUGCCCUGCACUUCGGGAUAAGCCUGGGAAACUGGGUCUAAUACCGGAUAGGACUCCUGGCUUCAUGGUUGGGGGUGGAAAGCUUUUGCGGUGUGGGAUGGGCCCGCGGCCUAUCAGCUUGUUGGUGGGGUAAUGUCCUUCCAAGGCGACGACGGGUAGCCGGCCUGAGAGGGUGACCGGUCACACUGGGACUUAGAUACGGCCCAGACUCCUACGGGAGGCAGCAGUGGGGAAUAUUGCACAAUGGGCGCAAGCCUGAUGCAGCGACGCCGCGUGAGGGAUGACGGCCUUCGGGUUGUAAACCUCUUUCAGCUAUGACGAAGCGCAAGUGACGGUAGUAGCAGAAGAAGGACCGGCCAACUACGUGCCAGCAGCCGCCGUAA